rnacentral:rRNA from 1 species
GUGCCAGCCGCCGCGGUAAUACAGAGGGUGCAAGCGUUGUUCGGAAUUAUUGGGCGUAAAGCGCGUGUAGGCGGCUUUGCAAGUCGGGUGUGAAAGCCCUCAGCUUAACUGAGGAAGUGCGCCCGAAACUGCAUGGCUUGAGUACCGGAGAGGAUGGCGGAAUUCCCGAAGUAGAGGUGAAAUUCGUAGAUAUCGGGAGGAACACCGGUGGCGAAGGCGGCCAUCUGGACGGAUACUGACGCUGAGACGCGAAAGCGUGGGUAGCAAACAGGAUUAGAAACCCUCGUAGUCC